AUAUGAAGAUACUGAUUAAGAGUAUAUAUACAAGUAUCUGAUACAUAUGCAUUACAAUAAAGAUAUCAUUCAUAUCAUUUUGAGCAUAGAAAACAAAACUAUGGAGAAUAUUACACCAUAGCAUUUGCAUCAACUGGACGAAAGAAAAAGAUCUUGUGGAUGAUAUUACAUUUUUCAAUCUAUUAAUGUAAACUACGACUAUUGGUAGAUAAAAUAUUCAGAUUUUAUUUGCUUCUGCAUCCAAGAAUUAAGCCGUAACUCAAUUAUCCUUCUCUCGAAUCUGUAAAACAAAAUUGCACGUUAGAUAUAUGUGAUUAAAUACACACAAAUAUGAUUUCAGAAUGUUGAAGAGAAGAUUUAACUUACAAAAGCUGAAGGCCAUGCAAUUAAGUAUCCUGAAGAGAAUGCUUCACGAAUUGUCUUGCAAUCAAAAACUUCCCUUACAAACUCCUCACUAUCAAGCAAAGGUUGAUCUAUGCGCACGAGGGAAAAUUCAGCACCUAACUCAAUACGACACGCCUUAAUUCUUGGAUCAGUACUACGAAUAGUACCAUACGCAAUAUUCCUCUUGUUGGGAUAUGUUGAAGUUUUCAAAACUACAUUAGAACCAGCCUAUAUUAUGAUCAAUAUUAGCAUUCAAUGUCAAUGAUAAUAUAAUUUGCAUGAACAAUGUGAACACUUUUCAAUGUCAGCCCAGUAUUUGUGCCCCAAAAAACUAAAUAAACUGGACCCAACAUCAAAGUCUAAUCACCAAGAUCACCUCACUUGCACAUGGUUGGUUCAAUUUAUCCUUUAGGGUGUGUUAGGGAGCAAAGUAUUUUGAAGUUUUUUAGGAAUGCUAUUGUUUAUUGGAAAAACAUUGGUACUAAAAUAAUUUGAACUGUUUGGCUUAAUUUUUUAUUGUAGAUUAAGUUACUAUGGUAUAUUUUAUAUUGAAGUUUUCUAAAACUGAACCAAGAGAAAUCAUUGGGGAGAGAUUGGCUUGUUGAUGUCUCCAUGUACGUGCAAUUCAGAAAAUUCUACAAAUUAGUUAGUUGCUUAUUACUUUCUGAACGUCUUGAACCAAGAUAGAUCGCUAAAUAAAUUGGUAGUUGGAGCACACUUCUACACAAUAUUACAGGAAACUGACUUUGUGCAUGGCCAUGUAACUAUAGGUGAUUAAUCCGAUCGUACACUACCAUACACUGAUUAGUCCUGGUGUGUUACUUUUUAGGUGUUUCCGAGUUAGCACAUACUAUCCGCUAUGUAGUUGUUUGUGGAAAAAACUACAGUAAAACAACAACAACAAACACUUCAUGGAGUUGACGAAACUUAAAAAACUAUUGUUUUAGAAAAACCAGAGUAUUUGUUGCCCACACAUAAGAAUACUAUGGUUUUUGAAUACAUUGGCUUUUCAUGCACACAGAUACAACUACAACUUUAAGAUGGCACGACGAAGAGCGCACAAAGGAUGGAGCAUUGCUUCAUCUACCGAUUCAGAGGCUUGGAAGGCCAUUGAUACUAAGUAUAAACACAUCGCAUCAGACUGCCGAAACAUGAGGUUUGGAAUAGGAUUUGAUGGGUUCAAUCCAUUUGGGAAUAUGACUUCCAAACAUAGCCGUUGGCCCAUUGUCUUAGUGCCCUAUAAUCUUCCUCCAUGGUUAUGCAUGAAAGCGUCCUCUCUUUUGCUUACUUCAAUUAUUCCAGGUUUCCUUGGAAAGAAUUUCCAUGUAUUCAUGGAGCCAGUUUGUGAGGAACUAGCUGAGUUGUUUGAAGUUGGAAUGUCAACAUAUGAUGCAUCUCGAGAUGAGACGUUCCAACUUUAUGAUGUUCUGUUGCAUACUGUGAGUGACUACCCUGGCUUGCAAUUGCUUCAUCACAUAACACCAGUUCUGAGUCGGGUUGUUUCCCGUGUAGUUAUGGAACUUGGUCUUUACACUUGAAACAUAGGGGGAAGUUCUGUUUCAUGGGACAUUGCCAAUUUCUGCACCCAUAUCAUGAGUUCCGUAAUGAAUCUGACUUAUUUGAUGGACUUGAGGAACACAGAACAGAGCCAACUCUUUAUUCUAAAGUUGGAGUUUUAGAUAAGGUAAAAUCGAUUAAGUGCUUUGAUGAUUCCAAAACUUGGAAGUUUGUUAAUGGGUUUGUCUCCCAUUUGACUUCUUGGAACUUCAAUUUGCUCUGCCACAAUCUUGAUAUUAUGCACAUUGAAAAGAAUGUAUGCGAAAAUAUAUAUGGGACACUUUUAGGAAUAGAGGGGAAGUCAAAGGAUAAUUUAAAGGCACGACUAGACCUCCAAGAGGUGAAAGUCAGGCCAGAGCUACAUCCUAAAAAAACAAUGACAAGUAUAUUCUUCCUCUUGCUUCUUAUACCUUGUCAAAGAAACAGAGGCAACCGUUUUACAAAGUACUUCAUGCAAGAGCAUGAGAUGGUUAUUCGUUGAACAUCUCAAGAUGUGCAAACAUUUUUGAAGGGCAACUUUCAGGCCUUAAAAGCCACGAUUGCCAUGUUUUGAUGCAACAAACUAUUGCCAGUUGCAUUGAGAGGUUUACUUCCAAAUAAUGUCACAUCUUUCUUGUUUAAUCUAUGUGCAUAUUUUAGAGAAAUUAGUGCAAAGGUUCUUCAUGUGAGAGAUCUUGAGAAGUUAGAGGAAAAAGUAAAGCUAACAUUAUGCCGUAUGGAGAUGAUAUUUCCACCCUGAUUUUUUACUGUUAUGGUGCAUUUGGUUCUUCAUCUAGCAACAAAGGCAAAAAUAGCUAGUCGUGUAUGCUACAGUUCAAUGUGGUUUUUGGAAAGGUAAUGUUUCAAAAAGGAGACAUUAUAUUUUCUAAUUAUUCCAGUACUAUAUUCAUUAACAGUUUUCUCUUCUUUUUUCAUCUUUUAUUUACGUAGGUAUCUUUGUGUCUUAGAGUCAUAUGUGCGUAACAGAGCACAUCCAGAAGGAUCUAUCGCACAAGCAUAUCUUGUAGACGAGUGCAUGACGUUUUGUUCAAGCUAUAUUCAUGGUUUUUCCACCAAGCAUAACCGACCUUCAAGAAAUGACGAUGACGAUGAUGAUGAGGCACAUGAUGUUGAACAAGGAUCAACUCUCUUUCCUUUUGUAGGAAAACCACUUGGAAAGGUUGGCAAUUAUGUUCUUAGAGGUUUGGCUAAAUUCCAAGCACAUAGAUAUGUGUUGUUCAACUGCUUAGAUGUCAACCCAUUCCUUCGAGCUCACACUGUGAGCUCACUAGUGAGCGUGAUGUCUCCUCAAACACAGUCGAGUCCAUCCAGCAUGUUAAGUUCAACGACUGGUUCAAAGCUCAUAUGUUUAAAUUGGAGAAAGAAAAUGGUAUUGUUAGUAUUAACAAUGAUAUUAGAUGGCUAGCACGUGGCCCGUUGAUGCAGCAAAAAGGUAUCGUGUUUACAACGCGAGAGGAUAUCGGUUUCGGGCUAAACCCUUAGACAGGGUGAGCCAAAAUAGUGGAGUGAUGGUACAUGCCAAAACAUCUACAUAUGCUGCACCAGAUAUGUUUAAAAAGAAAAGGAAAGAUCAACAUUGGGUAAGAUCAAAAUUGUGGAUGCUACUGAUAAUGCUUUGAUCAAUGAACAAUAGUGGAGGGAAACCAUAUAAAGGUAUUUCUCUGUUCGAGCAGCAUUUUCAGGAUUAUAUAUACACUAUAGUUUUACCUGAAGUCAAAGUUGAGUUUGCAGGGCACUAACAACAAUUGUACGUUCUUGCAUAUCGUUGGCUGAGCUUACACCCUUCAAAAAUUCAAAAGAAUGAGGUCUUCCACUCAACAUAUAAACCCAAUUUUUUGUUUUUAUUUUUUCUUUCCAUUUUCUUCUGACCCAUCUAAUAAUUAUGAUCCCUAGGAUUUAACAAGAGCAGCAGAUAAUCUUUGAUGCAGGCCGAUGCCAAUCUUAAGCCAUGUUUGAUGCUAAUUUGGAGAAGUUUUCUUUACCGCUAUGCACAGUCCAAAGCUGAAGCUAUGUUUCAGUUUGUAGUUCGUUCAUAUGUCAGUUUUCAGAUUACAUUGAUUCUGAAGCAUGUUAA